rnacentral:tRNA from 1 species
GCCUGGGUGGCUCGGUCGGUUAAGCGUCUGACUUCAGCUCAGGUCAUCAUCUCGCGGUCUGUGGGUUCGAGCCCCGCGCCGGGCU